GCUGGCGGCGUACUUAACACAUGCAAGUCGAACGAGGAGCGUCGGUGUAGCAAUACAUCGGUGCUUCUAGUGGCGCACGGGUGAGUAACACGUGGGCAACCUGCCCUUGAGCCCGGGAUACCCUCUCGAAAGGGAGGCUAAUACCGGAUACGUUCCUCGGGUCGCAAGAUCUGGGGAGGAAAGGCGGCGAAAGCUGUCACUCUUGGAGGGGCUCGCGGCCUAUCAGCUAGUUGGUGAGGUAAUGGCUCACCAAGGCUAUGACGGGUAGCUGGUCUGAGAGGACGACCAGCCACACGGGAACUGAGACACGGUCCCGACUCCUACGGGAGGCAGCAGUGGGGAAUUUUCCGCAAUGGGCGAAAGCCUGACGGAGUGACGCCGCGUGGGGGACGAAGGCCUUCGGGUCGUAAACCCCUGUCAGAGGGAAAGAGGGGUCGCCGACCUAAUACGUCGGUGAUCUGACGGUACCUUCAGAGGAAGCCCCGGCCAACUCUGUGCCAGCAGCCGCGGUAAGACAGAGGGGGCAAGCGUUGCUCGGAAUCACUGGGCGUAAAGGGCGCGUAGGCGGGAUGGCAAGUCGGUCGUGAAAUCCUUCGGCCCAACCGAAGAACGUCGGCCGAUACUUGCCGUUCUUGAGGGAUGCAGAGGAGACUGGAAUUCCCGGUGUA
rnacentral:rRNA from 1 species